CAUGUCUUUCCGCUCGAUUUCAAGGCAGUCAUAGACAACUCGUGGUUCUUGAAGGGUUCUUCAGUCCAGAUGGACAUAUUAGCAGACGAUAUAAUAUGAGAUGCCUGCAAGCCAUCGUUUUCAUAUUUAGGAAAAGAGGUGCCCAAUUGCCAAAUUGAGGUUUUUUUUAUCUGGCAAGACAUAGACAAGUUGUGAUUAUUUUUGCAAAGUUCUUCUAUUCAAAUGGACAGAUCAUUAGCAAGACGACUUAAUGUGAGAUGACUCUAGGUCGUCAUUUUUAAUUCCCCGUCUCGAUGACACUACCUAUGCAAUACGGCACCAAUGACGUACAACACAGCAGGUUAGACAAGAAGAUAGCACGGUAUCUCCUUAACAUUUUUCCAUUUGCAUUUGAAAAUCAAUUGGCUACCUGGUUGCUCUUAAAAAUAUAGAUUGAAUUGAGUUUGAAACAACAAAAUAUACGUCAUCCCGGUUUUUCUCCACGGUGAUUGGCUAGCUGUGACCUGCCGUGGUAGGUCUAGACUUUGAAUAAAGAAGGAUGACUGCAAGAAAGGGUUGUUAGGUUAUAUAGAGCUGGGUCAUGGCAUCUCUCAAGCAAGUGGCUCUAAAAGAACUUUUGUGAAUCAAUUGCCUUCUCAGCCCUUACUCUUGAGUCUUGACCCUGGCCAGGUCUUCCCAUAACCAAAGUCUGCUCCCACUGCGCUCAACCACUCAAUUAACAGGUCUGCGAUCUUCUACCAUAAUCCCUGUCAGAUUCAGAUCCACGAACAUCAUAUAGCUCUUCUCUGGACUUGUUCACUAGCAAUUUAUCGAUAUCUGUUUUAUCUGAUUCUAUGAUCUGUUGGCUGGUUUAUCUAUUGGACUGCUAUAAUCGUGGUUGGAAGAUUAUUCUACUCUCUCUGCUUGCUAUUUUUAUUGGAUUUUCCCCAGAGGUUCAAGCCUGUGCCUGAGCUAUUUUAUCCUUUUGGUCGGAACAACUUUAGAUCUUAUUCCAGUUCAGCAUUCAGCAAGGAGCCGUGGUCUGCCCCUGAGCUGACUUCUAGUGUUGAAGAUUCUGUGGGUUUAAUUCAGGAGGAGAAAAGAAGACCACCUUGUCCUUUGGUUAUUUAUUCUCAGUUCAAGCUGUUUCCAGUAGUAGUACGUACUUCAAAGAUAACUUUUGCCUUUUAGCACUUCAAAUGUUGACUGCAGUCUUCUCUAUGUGCUUGCAGAUAUUUGUAUCUUUAUUCUUCGUCGAUCGGUUGUUUUUGACCAAAUAAACUAUGGGCCUUCACAUUAAGCAGGCAUUUGGAAGAUCGACGAGUUAGAUUUUUUUGAGGGCCUCAUAAAAAGAAGUCUUGCAGUCAUGCUUCCUGGGCCACCUACAAAUAUCCAAUAGGAAUGUAACUGCAAAUGGAUUCCCAAUCAAUUGUUACACGAAGUGACCUGGAGGGCAUGCUUUGUGAUUAAAUGGCAGAGCCGAAGGCCCUGCCAUUAUCACUUCUAGCAGAAAUAACUAAUGGUUUCUCUGGUAAGCAGCAGAUUGGGUUUGCAGUUGUCUACCAGGUACGUCACAACUCAACUCCUAGUGAUCUAAAAAAGGAAUAUCUUAACCUCUUAGUCGGGUAACAUCGAGGUUAAGAUAUUCCUUUUUAGAUCAUGUUUCUGUUUCAUCUCAGGUGUGAUUGAUUCGGACAGCCACAUAUGGAGACAGUGCUGAAUAAUUAGCCUGCUUGUGCUGAAUAAUUCGGACAGACAGACGUUGCAUUCCAUUACAAAAGAUGAAUGACCUGGUCCAUUUUCCUCAGAUUUAAACUUUCAAAUUUCUUGAGUGUCAAAUAUGGUGCCAAGACAAAUCUACAGCCACAAGCUGGUUACUUAAUAUAAACCCAGGCAGAUGAAAGCUUUAAUUUGCUUUACUUCAGAUUUUGUUUCUUACUUCUGCAUCAAUAGUUCAUUACUAUUGCUCUGUUUGCUGUUACCACCAGAUACUGGUGUUUACGAUCCAUGGAGAAGACCAGGGUACCUAUUGUUGAUAUCAGCUUCCCUGCAGCCAAGUCAUGGAGUGUCUCUCUCACCUUCCAGAUUGGUUCUUUGUAGCAGAAAUGACACCAAUGCCAAAAUUUCAGCCUGCUUUCUAACAUUACGGAUGUACUUGUUGCAAGCCUGCAAGUUAUAUCUAUACCAAAAUGUUCUUACGUAGAUUAUAAACUUAUGUGAAAUAUAUACGAAGAUAAGUGUGCAUAUUCCUAGAAGGUUA